rnacentral:rRNA from 1 species
UAAGGAAUAUUGGACAAUGGAGGCAACUCUGAUCCAGCCAUGCCGCGUGAAGGAAUAAGGCCCUAUGGGUUGUAAACUUCUUUUAGACGGGACAAAACCCCUUUACGUGUAAAGGGUUGAUGGUACUGUCAGAAUAAGCAUCGGCUAACUUCGUGCCAGCAGCCGCGGUAAUACGAAGGAUGCAAGCGUUAUCCGGAAUUUUUGGGUUUAAAGGGUGCGUAGGCGGACUAAUAAGUCAGUGGUGAAAGCCUGCAGCUUAACUGCAGAAUUGCCAUUGAUACUGUUAGUCUUGAGUACAGUUGAGGUAGGCGGAAUGUGUCAUGUAGCGGUGAAAUGCUUAGAUAUGACACAGAACACCGAUUGCGAAGGCAGCUUGCUAAGCUGUAACUGACGCUGAGGCACGAAAGCGUGGGGAGCAAACA